GGGGGGGGGGGGGGGCGAGCCCGGGAUCUUCAUGGCUGUGCUCCGCUGCAUCGGGGUCCUGGGCUUCUAGGUCGUGCCGGUGCUCGAGCUCCGCGUCGCCCCGACGGCACCGUCGAGAUGCUGUCGUGCAGGAUUGAUGCAAGGCCUACUGGACAAGCUUGUCCCUGUCCUGGGGGAGCAGUUGCUGACAGACUACCAUUCCUGGGUUCAGCAGUAGCCUGAAGCUUCUUCAUGAGGUAGAGGGAGCCCGGUGUACGGUCCCCUGAUGCCUUGAGCAUUUCAUGCUUGGAUGGUGCAGAUUCAGAGCUCUGGGAAUCCAUGUGCAGAUGGUUCAUAGGGGAGUGCCGUGGAGGUUCUUGAAGCAAGGCUACAAGAUUCUGAUAAAGAAUUAGCAAUAGUGUUAUUCGACCAUAUGGAUAUAGUCUUGUCAAAGGUAUUCAAGUUAGCAGUCAAAGGUAUCCAAGUUAGCAGUAGUAGAUAGCAUACUGUGUCUUCCCCAACACCAACAGAUGGUACUGUGCGCAUUGGCAAAUACUUUCCAUCAUUGUAAGAAAAAGUCUACUAGCCUAGGAGAGCUCAACAAACCGUACAUUGGAAUCUGUAGAUCAAGCCAAGUCCCAGCAGUUGGAAUGCUUUAAUUCUCGAACAUGUGCAUGGUUCUGAGUGAUCAGGUGUACAGAUAUGGUUAAUCAUUUACUCAAUUAGAAUGAAAUGAAAAGGCAACCCAAAUGUUUCUAUUUUGAUUCAAAGGCACGGCACCGAAUUGGUUGUUCAGAUUCUUAGAGCAUUAAGAUGUUUAUAAGGCUCCAGUUAUCCUCACAGUUAGCCUGUGACAUUUGUAUACUGUGAUGAUAUACAUUUUACUCGUAUAAAAGGGGAUAAAUUUUGGGUCAA